CGGGUGGCGCGUAACAAACAACAAACGACUUCGGUCGACAGCCGAACGGCAUGGUCGCCUCCGGUUUGCUCUUCCGUCUGUAAGUGUUUGCCGUCCCACCUCCGGUAGAUGGGGUCUAGCUGUGCCAUGCUGCCAUCACCUGGUCAAUAUGUUAACAGCAACCGUCUGGAUGAUUGUGCUACUACCAUCAUGUCGCCAGCAUGAAGGCCAAGAAAAACGCUCAUAAAAACUCCUUCAUUCCCACUGCCAUGAACAUCUUAAAUGAAAGGUCUACCUCCAAAUACAUCUGGCUCUACAACCUCCAUAAAUAAAG